GACGAAGGGGGCUAGCGUUGUUCGGAAUUACUGGGCGUAAAGCGAGUGUAGGUGGUUGUCCAAGUUGGAUGUGAAAGCCUUGAGCUCAACUCAAGAAAUGCAUUCAGGACUGGGCGGCUAGAGGACCGGAGAGGAUAGUGGAAUUCCCAGUGCAGUGGUGAAAUACGUAGAGAUUGGGAAGAACACCAGUGGCGAAGGCGGCUAUCUGGACGGUUUCUGACACUAAGACUCGAAAGCGUGGGGAGCAAACAGG
rnacentral:rRNA from 1 species